UGCAAGAGAGGCCGCUGCAUCUUGCCUGCCCUGCUCAGUUCUUAUUUGGAGAAUCUUCUAUUGGCUUCCUGGCUGGAGGAAGCAGUGCGAGGUCUGGCCCAAUGGGCUACAAGACUUCAGAGCCUCAAGGGAGUUUUUCGUGGAGGGGAGAGGGGAGAGAUUGGCGUGGUAAUCAGAUUGUUUUCCCCCCCCACCACCACCACCACCUGCAGUGUGAAAAUGAAACUGAUUGGAAACAAAAAUGAAACCGACCAGUCUGUUUUCACUCUACAAGGUACAGCACGGGGCGCCCCCUAGCACAUCACCAAUAUUUCUUUCCCCAUAACUGGAGUAGAGAGAGGAGAAUUCAGUCUUUGGAGUCCAUUCGUUCCUUGGCCUCUCUCCUGAUGCUGCCACCACGGAGGCCAACGGCAGUGCCAGUUUUUGUGGACACCACCGAAUAUUCGCUUGACGGUCCUGACUUCGCUACACCUAGAACCUUGUGCCAACAGCCUGCAAGACACAGAAGCAAACAUUGUCCCUGCCUGGAGGAGGCCUCUCCUAAGAGAAAGAAACUGAGGGCCUGAUCUCCCCAGUCACCUGCAACUCCACUGAGUCGACUGGAGUGACUCCUGAUUUGCAGCAGCGUGAGAAGAUUGCUGAGGCUAGAUUGACUAGCAGCUGCGAGUCAAGAGGGGAGAAAGAGAGAGACAUUUUGGCUCUGACCUCUGAGGCCAUUUACCACCUCCUAGGACAAGCGUUUGAACACGACCCAACCCCAAUCAAAUAGCCACCGUGUACCAGGCAGGCCAUGGGACAAGGCUGCAGCCAGUGUCUUUUCUGCAGCCCCUUCUCUUCCUUCCAUGCCCACGAAUGGUGUCAAGCCGGCACCUCAGGAGCUCAGAGUCUUCUAUUUCUCCACAGAACCGGCACAGCGGCAUCGUGCCAGCUUGCCCUGUGCACAGCCCACCUCCUGCCAGAGAGCCUCAGCCUUCACCUGCAGGGACCCCUGCUCGAUGGGAGAAGGGAAUUCAAUCUCCAGGGCUCGUACAGUCCCUGAGCCCUCUGCCGAGGCUGCCAACUGUGGUGAUACUUGUGCUGCAGAGAACAGUCCCCUGGGAAUUAGACUGGGGCCUACCCAGUGCCUUGCUGGCAGUUGCGUUUCAUCUGGGACAGAUUUGACCCAACACGCUGGAGGGGAAAGACUCCGUAUCUCAUGGCCCACCCAGUUCAACUCAAGAGAACAGAAGCUGGUUGCAUGCUCUCACCAGCGCAGGACGCUCACCCCACACGUCUUAUCUCUCUCGUAGGCGGCACUUGAGCUCUGAUAAUGGGCUUCUUGACCCUGACCAGCCAGUAUGUUGCCGGUUCGGUGACGUUACGGCAGCAGGCCGGCUGCCAACGCUUCUCUGGGGAGAAACUGGGCCAUGACUUCCAGCUGGCAGCCGAGGGUGGGAGGGCAGCAUGAGAGGGCGUCAGGGUGCUCUGGAGCAUUGGGCAGAGCUCUCUGCCCGGCACAGUCAAGGCUGCUGCUCAGUCAGCUUUUGGCAGGAACUCACGGACGGGGGCUGAGGAGGGAGCUCGUUUUCAGAAUCUCCUCCUCA